rnacentral:sRNA from 1 species
CUCCCCAGCCAGAGACCCCUCAGCCCAGGAGGAGUGAGGCCGGGCCAGCAGCGGGGGCCCGGGAAGCCCCAUGUCUUGGGACCUGCUGGGGCAGGGACCCCUGGAUGUCAGGCUGCAGGUCCGGCAGCUGGGGAGGGGAUGAGGGCCUCCCACCAGCUCUGCCCAUCAGCCAGAUCCCUGGGAGAGGCAGCACUUGCUGGCCACAGAGUCGGCCCCACUCUCACCUGCCUGCCUCCCCCACCAGCUGGGCCCUGCACCGCCCCAGCCCACGCGGCGCCUCACCCCUCCUGGACAGAACAGUAUCUCUGGGACUGACAAGUUAAUCCGAGACCCACAGUAGCCCUGGAUGCCCUGGGAGAGGUGGCUGCUCAGCUCCAGGGCCAGCUUGGAGGAGCCAACUUCAAAAGACUCCGCCUGGCCUGCCCCUCUGCAGUCCUCCAGGCAGCCUGUCCAGGGAAGCGGUUGGCUGGUGUUGGACCUGGUGCGGCAGUGCACACCCCGUCCGAGGACCCCAGGAUCAUGUGCAUGGCCUGCUGGCGGGAGUGAGGGAGGGCAAGACCCUGAAAGGCCCAUGGUGAGCAGCUGUGGGCCUCCUCUAGGGAGGGGGCUCACUUGGGUGGAGGGGCUGGGGGCACACACAGCUCAGGAGACACUGCUUGUUCCCCUGAGCCCCACCAGGAAAUCUCCGGUUGGCUCUGGUCACUGUGUCACUGUGGGUGGCAGUGGGUGCAUGUGCCCUGGCUUCUGGUAGUUGGGCGAGGGGGGCUUCUGGGUGCCGGGCCACCCAGUUCUAAGCUGGGCUGAGGCUUGAGCCCGGAAGUAGUACUAACAGGCCAGGUGGGACUCCCAGGGCAGCCAGUCUGCCCCACCUGGGUGGGACACAGCAGGUGCUGGACAUCCUUGCAGCUCCAGCUGGCCUGCUCAGCAGUCAGGCUCUGGUUCUCGCUAUGACCUCUGACCCAGAGCAGGCAGAGGGGAUGACGUGGCAAUUCUGAGCCCACCAAGUUGGCUGUGGCGUGUGUGGUUGGGGGGUCAGGCUUCAGGAAGGGGCCAUAGCAAGCCAUCUGCUCUUCCAGCCAUUGCUGCUUCGUGCUCUGAGCAGGAGCUGCCACCCCCCGCCAGGCCCCCAGCUCUAUGCAAGGGUUGGGGUGCUGCUUGGUCAGGCUCCCCUGCCAGGGCUGGGAAGCCGAGUCGAGUCCUCUUAUCUUGGUCGGGUUCGCAUGAUUAAUUUCCAGCCCUAGAUCUGCUGUCUGACUCCAUCCUGGGGGCCCAGGGGAAGGUUUGGGGCUGGCCCCUUUUGGGUGGCUGGGAACCUGGGGGCCGUCAGCUGUCUCCUUGAUGUUUGGGCUUUAUCCCUGCAGGAGCAGGCCCUCCACUUUGGGUCGGGGGAGGCCUGUGGCACAGGCUGCCUGGAGGGAUGGCGUGGGGCGGCUGGUACAGGCAGAGGGGCCUUUUGCAACUGUUGGUUGGGGCUGGCUGUGGUGGCUCCUUCCUCCUCUGUAGCUUCUGGGUGUCCCCCCAGCUUUCCCCUUCCAAUAGGGUGUGGCUUGGAGCUCUGAGCCCCUGCCCCAGUUGGGUUGGGGGUACAAGGAGUCCCCAGUUCCCAGGUCUCUGUGAGCUAAUCCAGAGGGAGUGUGGGAGGUGUGGAGUUGAAUGGGCAUGGCCAUGAGUGAGACAGGCUGUACUGGGACAACUUCCUACUGUACCCCCAAGAGCCUGCAGACCAGCCCCACUCGAGCUGUGCGGGGCCAGGGGGGCCCUGCUCUGUGCGGUCCUGAGGGUGCUCCACCCCUUGCUGGCCCCACUCCCACGUGGACCACAGAGCCAGGCUCUCCUGCCUCUGGGCCUGCCCCCUCUGUCUCCUGCUGGGUUCUUCGGGACUCAGUGACAUCGCCUCCCAGUCCACAUCACUCACCCCUUUCACAUCUUUGCAGGGAGCAUAGAGCUGUCUGGUUUGCAGACCUAUCUGUUGUCUCUCCUGAUUUAUCCCGCCAGGCCUGUGCCUACAGCCUUUCUUGAUUGGUGACAUGUCCAUUUAAUUCGCUCAGAGAUCCCAUGGGGUGGGGCAAGGGGUGGGGCUUCUACAGAAACAAAGUGCAGGUGGGCUGGCUGCUCCCUGUGCUGGGAACAUCCCCCAGGCCUAACCCCAACCUGCUGUCUCCUCCAGGUACCCCCCAAGCCUGCACUCUGGGCGCUCCUGCUGGCGCUGCUGGGGACCGCGCCAAGCCGCGCCUAUUCCCCGGCCUGCAGCGUCCCCGACGUGCUCCGCCACUAUCGCGCCAUCAUCUUCGAGGAUCUGCAGGCCGCCGUGAAGUGGGGCGGGGCGGGGGCCGAAAAGACCAGGCCAGGCUCCAGACACUUUCAUUUCAUACAGAAAAACCUGACUAGACCCGGGAGCUCGGGACGGCGGGGACGGCCUCGGGCCUCCUGUGGCGCCCAGAAGGGCCGCCGCGCGUCCCGGGGCUCCACGGCCCUAGGCUGAGGUCGGGCUGGGCCGCGCCUCCCUUCCGGGGCCAGGCCGGGCCGGGCGCGGGGGCCGUGCGCAUUCGCUGACCGCCCUGUCCCCGACAGCGGAGCCGGCGGCCCAAGAUGCGCCCUGCCCGGCGUCGCGGCGGUCGAAGGCAGCUCCUGCUGCGCGCCCUGGACGCCGUCGCCACCUGCUGGGAGAAGCUCUUCGCGCUGCGCGCCCCGGCCUCCAGGGGCUCCUAGCGCGGCCCGUCUUGGCCCUGCCUCCAGCGCCCUGCGCGGGGAGGAGAACCAGUGGGGCCUUCGGCAGAGCCUGGAGACGCGCCUCGUUUUUGUCGACAUGUUGGUGACCUCGGCCCCUCGCUCGACGCAGCCCGCGCUCCCCGGAGGGCCCAGGACUUGGAGAAGGGAGCGCGCCUGGCCGCCGCUGGGUCUCGGAGGAGGCCCGCCCUCCACGCGCCGAAGGCCUCAAUAAACGGAGCUGGCGCUGCGGGUCCGGCA